CAUGGGUGAAGCCUGACCCAGCGUGCCGCGUGAGGGAUGAAGGCCUUCGGGUUGUAAACCUCUGUCAGGAGGGACGAUGGGACACUUGUGUUUUGACGGUACCUCCACAGGAAGCCCCGGCUAACUCCGUGCCAGCAGCCGCGGUAAUACGGAGGGGGCAAGCGUUGCUCGGAAUUACUGGGCGUAAAGGGUCCGCAGGCUGUCGNGGCAAGUUGGUUGUGAAAGCUCAAGGCUUAACCUUGGAAUUGCAUCCAAAACUGCCUGGCUAGAGUCCAAGAGAGGUUGGCGGAAUUCCCGGUGUAGCGGUGAAAUGCAUAGAUAUCGGGAGGAACACCAGAGGCGAAGGCGGCCAACUGGCUUGGAACUGACGCUCAGGGACGAAAGCGUGGGUAGCAAACCGGAUUAGAUACCCGGGUAGUCCNCGCCCUAAACGAUGGAUGCUAGGUAGGGGGAAUUUAUUUCUCCCUGCCGCAGUUAACGCAUUAAGUUCCCGCCUAGGAGACGGAGCU
rnacentral:rRNA from 1 species